rnacentral:rRNA from 1 species
UACGAAGGGGGCUAGCGUUGUUCGGAAUUACUGGGCGUAAAGCGCGUGUAGGCGGGUCUUUAAGUCAGGGGUGAAAUGCCAAGGCUCAACCUUGGAACUGCCUUUGAUACUGGAGACCUUGAGUCCGGGAGAGGUGAGUGGAAUUGCGAGUGUAGAGGUGAAAUUCGUAGAUAUUCGCAAGAACACCAGUGGCGAAGGCGGCUCACUGGCCCGGAACUGGCGCUGAGGUGCGAAAGCGUGGGGAGCAAACAGG